GAUGAACGCUGGCGGCGUGCUUAACACAUGUAAGUCGAACGGUGAAGGCGGAGCUUGCUCUGCUGGAUCAGUGGCGAACGGGUGAGUAACACGUGAGCAAUCUGCCCCUGACUCUGGGAUAAGCGCUGGAAACGGCGUCUAAUACUGGAUACGAGCUGCGAAGGCAUCUUCAGCAGCUGGAAAGAAUUUCGGUCAGGGAUGAGCUCGCGGCCUAUCAGCUUGUUGGUGAGGUAAUGGCUCACCAAGGCGUCGACGGGUAGCCGGCCUGAGAGGGUGACCGGCCACACUGGGACUGAGACACGGCCCAGACUCCUACGGGAGGCAGCAGUGGGGAAUAUUGCACAAUGGGCGAAAGCCUGAUGCAGCAACGCCGCGUGAGGGACGACGGCCUUCGGGUUGUAAACCUCUUUUAGCAGGGAAGAAGCGAAAGUGACGGUACCUGCAGAAAAAGCGCCGGCUAACUACGUG
rnacentral:rRNA from 1 species